AUUGAACGCUGGCGGCAUGCCUUACACAUGCAAGUCGAACGGUAACGCGGGGCAACCUGGCGACGAGUGGCGAACGGGUGAGUAAUGCAUCGGAACGUGCCCAGUUGUGGGGGAUAACUGCUCGAAAGAGCAGCUAAUACCGCAUACGACCUGAGGGUGAAAGCGGGGGAUCGCAAGACCUCGCGCAAUUGGAGCGGCCGAGGUCGGAUUAGCUAGUUGGUGGGGUAAAGGCCCACCAAGGCGACGAUCUGUAGCGGGUCUGAGAGGAUGAUCCGCCACACGGGGACUGAGACACGGCACAGACUCUGACGGGAGGCAGCAGUGGGGAAUUUUGGAGGAUGGGCGCAAGCCUGAUCCAGCAAUGCCGCGUGCAGGAAGAAGGCCUUCGGGUUGUAAACUGCUUUUGUACGGAGCGAAAAGGCUCUCUCUAAUACAGGGGGCUCAUGACGGUACCGUAAGAAUAAGCACCGGCUAACUACGUGCCAGCCGCCGCCGUAAGAC
rnacentral:rRNA from 1 species